rnacentral:rRNA from 1 species
UCGAGAAUCUUCCGCAAUGGGCGAAAGCCUGACGGAGCGACACCGCGUGCAGGACGAAGGCCUUCGGGUUGUAAACUGCUGUCACGCUCUAGGAAUGCCAUGCUGUUAAUAGCGGCAUGGUUGACCAAGGCGAGAGGAAGUGGCGGCUAACUCUGUGCCAGCAGCCGCGGUAAGACAGAGGCCACGAACGUUGUUCGGAAUUACUGGGCAUAAAGCGCGCGUAGGCGGCUGGGUCUGUCCGAUGUGAAAGCCCCCGGCUCAACCGGGGAAGUGCAUCGGAUACAGCCCGGCUUGAGGACGGUUGGGGUGAGUGGAACUCCUGGUGGAGCGGUGAAAUGCGUAGAUAUCAGGAGGAACACCGGUGGCGAAAGCGGCUCACUGGACCGUUACUGACGCUGAGGUGCGAAAGCUAGGGGAGCAAACGGGAUUAGAUACCCCCGUAGUCCCUGAGCGGGCUGGCAAGGCGCAU